rnacentral:rRNA from 1 species
GAUUAUGGCUCAGGAUGAACGCUAGCUACAGGCUUAACACAUGCAAGUCGAGGGGCAGCAGAUCGAAAGCUUGCUUUGAUGCUGGCGACCGGCGCACGGGUGAGUAACGCGUAUCCAACCUUCCCUAUAGUAGAGAAUAGCCCGGCGAAAGUCGGAUUAAUGCUCUAUGUUGUAUUUAGAAGACAUCUGAAGAAUACCAAAGGUUUACCGCUAUAGGAUGGGGAUGCGUCUGAUUAGGUUGUUGGCGGGGUAACGGCCCACCAAGCCUACGAUCAGUAGGGGUUCUGAGAGGAAGGUCCCCCACAUUGGAACUGAGACACGGUCCAAACUCCUACGGGAGGCAGCAGUGAGGAAUAUUGGUCAAUGGACGAAAGUCUGAACCAGCCAAGUAAGCGUGCAGGAUGACGGCCCUAUGGGUUGUAAACUGCUUUUAUACAGGGAUAAAGUGAGGGACGUGUCCCUUUUUGUAGGUACUGUAUGAAUAAGGACCGGCUAAUUCCGUGCCAGCCGCCGC